UGGGGUGUAGACAAGUUGGUAAGUCGGCGGAUUUUGAUUCCGUGAUUCGGGUGCAAGCUCUCGUAGGUUCGAAUCCUACCACCCCAACCA
rnacentral:tRNA from 1 species